rnacentral:rRNA from 1 species
GUGUCAGCAGCCGCGGUAAGACGGAGGGUGCUAGCGUUGUUCGGAAUUACUGGGCGUAAAGGGCGCGUAGGCGGCUUUUCAAGUCGGAUGUGAAAGCCCGGGGCUCAACUCCGGAACGGCAUUCGAAACUGGAGGGCUGGAGGACGAGAGAGGAAAGUGGAAUACCCAGUGUAGAGGUGAAAUUCGUAGAUAUUGGGUGGAACACCGGUGGCGAAAGCGGCUUUCUGGCUCGUUUCUGACGCUGAGGCGCGAAAGCGUGGGGAGCAAACAGGAUUAGAUACCCUGGUAGUCCACGCCCUAAACGAUGUGUGCUAGAUGUCGGGGGACUUGUCCCUUGGUGUCGGAGCUAACGUGUUAAGCACACCGCCUGGGGAGUACGGUCGCAAGAUUAAAACUUAAAUGAAUUGACGGGG